rnacentral:lncRNA from 1 species
UAUCAUAGGUAGUAUGUGAAUACACUAGAGUGUAUUCCCAAAUUAUCUUAGUGGGAUAUAGAUAUAAAUAAGACAGAUACAAUUUAAAUAAUUCUUACAAGACAAAUACCCAGCAAACACAGUCUAAUUUUUAGUUUCCUAGUUCUAGCCUUUAGUGGCAAGUUUUCUAUAAUAGAGCAGAAUUUUAUUAUUUGUAAUCAUAUAUACACACACACAAACAUACAUAUAUGCAUAUACAUGUGUAAUGUAUAUCAACAAACACAUACACAGAGGCAUACACACAAAUCUUUGUGUGUACUGUGUGUGUGUUUAUAUACACUUGUAAUUAUCCUUUUGGAUUAUGUAGAACAGUCCCCGUUCCACAUGAAUAUUUGGCAAAAUUUUCCUACAGGUUCAGGUUAGAUGAACAGAAGCAAACUGCCCGGCCAGCAAAUAUACCUCAUGGGGGAAAUACAGGUUAUUGAUAAAUGCUGCAGAACUUACGCUGACACUUUGGUUUGUUUUGUCCCAGCAAAUGAGAAGGAUGUUCUUACUUCUUAACGGAAACACUAAAGCUCUACUUCCUUAAAACUUGAUCUUUGGAUGUAGAGACGGUACUCACUUCAAUAUACAUACAGAUGGCAAAACAAACCAAAGGUCGGUGUAUAAACCUCAUGUUUCUUAGAUAGAUAAGACAAGACUGUUGAUUCCAGGAUUGGACCAGCCUUAAUAAUAAUAAUAUUAAGAUUAACACAAAUCCAUAAAAAGACGUUAUUUAAUUUCCUUUUAAGCUAUCCUCAUUCUCCUUCUUGUCCUGAUUUAACUACUUUUUCUCAGCCCUUUGUACACUGGAUAUUCUAUUUGAAAACACAAAUAAUGCCAUGCAAUAAACAUGCUAUGAUCAUUUUUAUAGUUUUUUUGUGAUUAAAUGUCCUUACCAUGAGAAGUUCUUCAUAAAACUCCAAAAGAUGAUUUUCCUGGUAUGGAAAAAUAAAUCAUUAAAAUUAGAAAUAAUGAACAUUAUAUCAUCUGAUAUGUAGGUUUCCUUUUCUGAUUUAAAUUUCUUUAACUUGGCCAUGUUUAUUCAAAUAAGACUGCUGUUAUUAUUUGAACAGUUAAAACACUUUCACAUUUAAUGCAACACUAUUGACUUAUCACCAAGUAAAAUAAGUAUACCAACUAUAAAGUAUGAAAAUCCUUAGAGAUUUUCCACUUCCACUUCUACUAUUCAUUUAACGUGUAUUGGCCUCAGUUCCCAUAUAACAUCCUAGAAUUUGAGUCAGUUGAACUAUAGCAUAUAUGAAAUUCUAAUUAUGUUCAAAGCUUAGCCAAAGUAAUUUUAACUAAUUUAAAGAAAAGUUUUAUACAUGUUAAUUUUGAGAUGAUAAUUACACACACACAUAACACACACACAAAAUAUCAAGUUGUAUUUCAUGUAUCUCAAGUUUAAAUUGGGAUUCAAAGUUAUUGAGUAAUUUGCAACUAUUUAAUUUCAAUCAAGAGUAGAACAUAUUUUUCAUUUACUUUAGUAUUCUAAACACUGAAAGCCUGAGCUCAAACAUAAGAAAGAAAACUCUAAUUUGUCACUGAGUAAUUUAAAUACUUUUAAAAGAAACUUUUGCUCAUAAAAAGUACUUGUUUCAGCACUGUUACUUUUCUCAAUCCCUACCAUGUUUUUUUUUUUUUCUACUGUCAUCUUUUAAUUUAAAUUUGGAGUACCAACUCAGAAUUGAGCAAAAGCAAUAGAUUUCCAAAAUCAGAAGGCUGCUGUGAAUCACUUUCAAUAAGAGAAGAAAAACAAAUGAAAUACAGCCAGCAUUAGGCUCUGGAAUUGAAAUUACAAGCACUCUGAGGAAUAAUUAUAGUAUGUGGUCCAAGGAUCCUGCUGCUCAGGUCCAUUAACAUCGCAGACCCUGCUGAAUUAUGAAAAUGUUUCUAAGAUCUAACAGUUUUACAAAAAGUUGCCAAACAGAAUCCCCAAAAUAUUCCCUUGAUAAACAAAAAGGUUAUAUAAAACUCAAUAUUUAUAUUGUAGUCUUAAGAAAAGUUUGGGACAUACAGAUAUAUUCCACAGGUUAAAAAUGGUGAAAUGUCUGGUAUUAAAAUGAACGGGCAGAGCAACUGAAAACUCAGUUAAAUAGAUCUGAUUUUAAAUUCCAUCACCAACAGAAAAUGACUCUGAUACUCCCAAAGUAAUAAAGCCCAUAGUUCUUUCUGUGCAGCUCAAGAAUGCAGACCUGGGGCAGGUGAAAGUUACAGGAAGGUUAAUUUCAUCUUGAUAUAAGGGGGGGGGGAAUGCAUCAUAAGAUAGAGUGCUUUCAGUGACUACACACAUUUAAACAAAGGAUGGAUGGUUUCCUGUCAGCCAGUCUAGAAAGUGUUUCUGACUAGAGGUCUCCAUGCUUUUUCCCCACACUCAAGACUCAAUAAUUCUGUGCUUCUAUAACCUUUGUAGUGACCCUGAAAGAAAAUCUAGAUGCAAACCAAAUCUGUUAAUAUACUUUAAAUAUCACGUUCCUAUUAAAUAUUUCUUUAAAAACUUGUCAUGUUCUUCAUGGAUGUAUCAUAUCUCUUACCAGUGGGUCCUCACAUUUGGAGUUUCCUUAGGCUCAAACAUGCUUUCCCCUCUUGUUCCUCUCUAGCAAAUCCUGGGUAAGCCAUAGGUUCUCGCCACGUAUUAGCUUCUACAGGAACUCUUUCCUGUCCCUCUCCCACUAUGGAGACUGUGUUAAGUGUCCUUCAAUGUGCUUCUGUGGAACAUACCCUAUAGCUCGGCUCUUCAUAUUGUGUUGUAACUAUUUCCCUCACUAGACCAUACACUCCCAUAGGCAGUAGCUGAGAUUACAAUGAAAUACAUCGAAUAAAUUAGUCCUGUGAUAGUACCAGGUCCAGAAUAUUGGUAUGACUUGGAAAAGAUUAUUUUUUAGAUAAAUUUGAGAUAUUAUUGAAAAAAAAGCUGGUGAUGCAGAGGUUAAGCAAAUUUAUUUAAUGAAGUUCAUGACAGAGCCAUGCAAGUAUUUUUAUAUUCUGUGAAUCUACUAUUAUUAAGAGGAUAAGUGGAUGCAGAAUUUCCCAACAUUAUUUUACCUCAGAAUCUUUUUUUAUUUUUUCAUGGAGCUUCUUAUAAGUCUAGGGUUCCUCCUCAUUUAUUUUAGAGAAUGUUGAAUCAUUUCAUUCACAGAAUAGUAUCUUCCACAGAAUAGACCAUAAGAAAAACUAACUAUAUUAGUUAUUAAAGUAUAAACUAAUUGCUUUUAGGUUUCCUGAUAAAUUUCACUCUAUCUACCCCAAAUUACUGUUUUUAGAUCAAAGGAACUUUGUGAUAAUCUUCUUUAUUCUGAUUGUAGGAGUCCUAUUUCUGAUAUACUUAGUCAUUUUCACUUCUGUCAAAAGAACUCAGAUGCUAAAGACAUCAUAUCUACAGGAGGCUGUAUGUUUCAUUAUUAGAUAGACGUUAUUUUAAAAAUUAUUUUUCAUUGAACUUAUUGCUGAAUGCUCCUAACUUGAAUGCACUGAUUAGAGUGCCUCCUUUUCAAAUAACCAAAAAAAAAAAACAAAAAAAAAACCCAAAAAAACAAAAAAAAAAACAAAAAAACUCACACUUUCUGCUAUAUAACAGUUCCCAAGCAUUUUUUUAGGUUUCUCCCCUUUGAACUAAACAUCUUAGUUCCCUUUUUCCUACUUUAGUGUGAUUUCCAGAUUAUCAGAUUGACAGCAAUCUUGUUAUAAAAUUUAAGUUUACUGAUUCUGGUAUAUUAUUCUCAGCAUACUUUAAGUCAAGAUAAGAUAGAAUUUUAAUAUUCUGGAAAGAUACCAAGGUUCACUCCUGUGUUCUUUGUUACAUAUCAUUUAAGAUUCAUAGCUAUGAUCAAAAUUCAGUUUCCUAAUUUUCUAUAUUAUUCACUGACAUUCUCUCUGCAUUUUCUGUCAUUCAAUAAGAAGUUAUAAGAACUGUGAGGCCAAGUACCUUUCUUUUUCUCUAGAACACUUUGUAAAGUGUGCACAUACAUAAAAACUACUGAUUAACUGGUUGCCUGAAAACAGUGGUACACAUUUAAAUGCAGAAUUCUAGGGCUAUAGCCUUUGUGAAUACCCUUGCUUCUUGAUAUUUAGAGGGCUAAGAAAACUGGCAGUGGGCCAGAUAGAGUCAGUUGGUAUGCAGUAUGCUUCCUGACCUUCCAAGCUUUCUCUUCACUGGGAGGGAGGGUGGUAUAGUGAAAAACCUGAAAAUGACACUUCUAGAUUUUCUUGCCCAGGUCCCUAAUUGGCUCUAUACAUGGGAAGCAAUGGUAGGAAGCUAGAAGGCAGCGGUGAAUCAAAAGUCUUUCUAUCUUCAACUCUCAAGCAGCAGAAAGGCAACUACUAGCAAAGCGUAGACUCUAGAAUUUUCAGGUACCAACAGCAAAGGUGGAUGAAACCCCACUUGAGAAGCAGUGCUGCAGCUUAGCUAUGUUGAGGAAGGAAUAGUUCCCUGACUUGAGUUAACACACACUCUUCACUCUUCCCCCUUACUACCCAUCUAUCACUUUUGUAAAUAUUUAUCUGUAUUAAAAACCUUUCUUUGAGGGCAAACCAAUGGCCAAUAAACAUAAGAAAAGCCAUCAGAGAAAUACAAAUUAUAACCAUAAUGAAAUGCCACUUAAUAAUCACCAGAGUAGCCAUUUAGAAAGUUAAGAAAUAAAAGGGAAAAAAAAAUCCAAGUCUUGAUGAAGAUGCAGAGCGACCAGAAUAAACACAGCUGGUGAAAGUGUAAACAUGGUACAACCUCUUUGGGAACUUAUUUGGCCAGUUACUCCUGAAGGUGAACAUAUUCCAUCUCUAUGACUUAGGAAUUCCAUUUCUAGGUCUAUGCUUAUUAUAAAUGUGCACACAUGUUAAAAAAAAAAAAACUGACUAGAAUGUUGAUAGUAUACUAUUUGUAACACCUGAAACCUGGAUAUUACUCAAAUCUUCAUUAACAGUAGUAAGACAACUUGAGAUACGUUCAUAUAAAGGGACACUAUGCAGCAAUAAUAAUGACUACAAUCACUGAUGUUCAGCAACAAAAAUGAAUCAUAUAAAAAUGCUGAGCUACAGAAAUCCUGCAACGCAUGCAUACUAUUUUAUCCUUUUUUAUAUAAAAUAAAACAAACAAACGUAUUCCCUGCAGUAAGAAGUUAGGAUAAUUGACUGCCUUUAAGGGAAGGGCUAGGGAUGAUCUGGUUUUUUGAUUUGGGUGCCAGAGACAGGGAUAUUCAGUUGGCAAAAACUCUUUGAGGGGUACGGAAAAGUGCAAAUACUUCCAUAUAAUGUUUCCUUAAAAGUUCUUGCUCUAUUUCAGACCAGGAUAAACUACGACUUUGUCAGGGCAUAGCUGGGAAUAAUAUUAGUCUGGAAAAACUGAAAGCAAGUACUGUAUUUAUUUCUUUUAGCUUUACAACUACGAAGCAAAGCACUAAUAAAGUUCUCUCAGAACAUCUGAUUAUAAAAGAAAUUUAAUUCUUUUGAAAAACCUAGAGUGGUUUCUGUUUUUCUGAAUUAAUGUAUCAACAUGUAGCUUUAUUUGCUUUCUAAGCUAACAUAUGGAUUUCUUAUACACUAUUUCAAAAUGAGUUUCAUCAUAAUUUACAUAAAAUAACUGAAAAUCUCAGAAAAUAUAUGUUAAAAAUUUCUGCCAAAAUUCAUGAAAUAUCCCAACUCAUUAAGAAAUAAUUCAAGUUUUGAAGAUAUAUAAAGAAUACUAAUGACAUUUUCACAUACAUUUUAAACACUCCACUAUCACUUCCAGAUCAUAUUUAAAUAUUUUCAUUCAUUAUCAUUAUUUUCAUGAAACCUCUCAAGUCUUUCACAAGAGUAAAUUUUUCUCCUUCCAGACAAGAAAGGGGAAUUAUUAAAUAAAGUAGAACUUUAAGGGACAUAAUUUGUUUUAUUCAACUUUCAUUAUUAAAUAAAAAUCAGGGACUCAAAUAUUUAAUGAAAAAAAUUAAACAUACAGAGGCACAUUGUCUAAGUACAAUUACAAAUGCUAUUAUAUUUCUUUAUGGGACUCCUCAUUCAUAGGGACAAGAUUUAUACAAACAACCUCAAUAAAACCUUGCAAGCCAAUUAAAGCAAGCAAUGACCCAAAUGUGUCAAUUUCUUAGCCAUUUUAGAAAGUGCUCCAGGAGAAUGGGAACCAUUAUCAUUUUAAGUGACCAAACCAAAAAAAAAAAAAAAAAAAAAAAAAAAAA